GAUGAACGCUAGCGGCAGGCUUAAUACAUGCAAGUCGAGGGGCAGCGGGGUAGCAAUACCGCCGGCGACCGGCAAACGGGUGCGGAACACGUACAGAACCUCCCUCCAAGUGGUGAAUAGCCUUCCGAAAGGAAGAUUAAUACACCGUAAUAUUAGAGAGUGGCAUCACUUUCUAAUUAUAGAUUUAUCGCUUAGAGAUGGCUGUGCGGCUGAUUAGGUAGUUGGCGGGGAAUAGCCCACCAAGCCUGCGAUCAGUAACUGGUGUGAGAGCACGACCAGUCACACGGGCACUGAGACACGGGCCCGACUCCUACGGGAGGCAGCAGUAAGGAAUAUUGGGCAAUGGACGAGAGUCUGACCCA
rnacentral:rRNA from 1 species